rnacentral:rRNA from 1 species
UGAAGGCCUUCGGGUUGUAAACCUCUUUCAGCAGGGAAGAAGCGCAAGUGACGGUACCUGCAGAAGAAGCGCCGGCUAACUACGUGCCAGCAGCCGCGGUAAUACGUAGGGCGCAAGCGUUGUCCGGAAUUAUUGGGCGUAAAGAGCUCGUAGGCGGUCUGUCGCGUCUGCUGUGAAAACUCGAGGCUCAACCUCGGGCUUGCAGUGGGUACGGGCAGACUAGAGUGCGGUAGGGGAGACUGGAAUUCCUGGUGUAGCGGUGGAAUGCGCAGAUAUCAGGAGGAACACCGAUGGCGAAGGCAGGUCUCUGGGCCGCAACUGACGCUGAGGAGCGAAAGCAUGGGGAGCGAACAGGAUUAGAUACCCUGGUAGUCCAUGCCGUAAACGUUGGGCACUAGGUGUGGGGCUCAUUCCACGAGUUCCGUGCCGCAGCAAACGCAUUAAGUGCCCCGCCUGGGGAGUACGGCCGCAAGGCUAAAACUCAAAGAAAUUGACGGGGGCCCGCACAAGCGGCGGAGCAUGCGGAUUAAUUCGAUGCAACGCGAAGAACCUUACCAAGGCUUGACAUACACCGGAAACUUCCAGAGAUGGUUGCCCCGCAAGGUCGGUGUACAGGUGGUGCAUGGUUGUCGUCAGCUCGUGUCGUGAGAUGUUGGGUUAAGUCCCGCAACGAGCGCAACCCUCGUCCUAUGUUGCCAGCGGGUCAUGCCGGGGACUCAUAGGAGACUGCCGGGGUCAACUCGGAGGAAGGUGGGGAUGACGUCAAAUCAUCAUGCCCCUUAUGUCUUGGGCUUCACGCAUGCUACAAUGGCCGGUACAAAGGGCUGCGAUACCGCGAGGUGGAGCGAAUCCCAAAAAGCCGGUCUCAGUUCGGAUUGGGGUCUGCAACUCGACCCCAUGAAGUCGGAGUCGCUAGUAAUCGCAGAUCAGCAACGCUGCGGUGAAUACGUUCCCGGGCCUUGUACACACCGCCCGUCAAGUCACGAAAGUCGGUAACACCCGAAGCCGGUGGCCCAACUGUCACAGGGGGAGCCGUCGAAGGUGUAGAG